CCUACGGGAGGCAGCAGUGGGGAAUAUUGCGCAAUGGGCGAAAGCCUGACGCAGCGACGCCGCGUGAGGGAUGAAGGUCUUCGGAUCGUAAACCUCUGUCAGCAGGGAAGAACGGUCACUGUGCUAAUCAGCAGUGAAUUGACGGUACCUGCAAAGGAAGCACCGGCUAACUCCGUGCCAGCAGCCGCGGUAAUACGGAGGGUGCGAGCGUUAAUCGGAAUUACUGGGGGUAAAGCGCUCGUAGGCGGUAUGUCAAGUCAAGGGUGAAAUCCCCGCGCUCAACGUGGGAACUGCCUUUGAAACUGGCAGACUGGAGUGUGUGAGAGGAUAGUGGAAUUCGAGGUGUAGGGGUGAAAUCCGUAGAUAUCUGGAGGAACAUCAGUGGCGAAGGCGACUAUCUGGCACAUAACUGACGCUGAGGAGCGAAAGCGUGGGUAGCAAACAGGAUUAGAUACCCCAGUAGUC
rnacentral:rRNA from 1 species